rnacentral:rRNA from 1 species
GUGGGGAAUUUUGGACAAUGGGGGCAACCCUGAUCCAGCCAUUCCGCGUGAGUGAAGAAGGCCUUCGGGUUGUAAAGCUCUUUCGGCAGGAACGAAACGGUGAGCUCUAACAUAGCUCGCUAAUGACGGUACCUGAAGAAGAAGCACCGGCUAACUACGUGCCAGCAGCCGCGGUAAUACGUAGGGUGCGAGCGUUAAUCGGAAUUACUGGGCGUAAAGCGUGCGCAGGCGGUUGUGUAAGACAGGUGUGAAAUCCCCGGGCUUAACCUGGGAACUGCGCUUGUGACUGCACGGCUAGAGUAUGGCAGAGGGGGGUGGAAUUCCACGUGUAGCAGUGAAAUGCGUAGAGAUGUGGGGGAACACCGAUGGCGAAGGCAGCCCCCUGGGCCAAUACUGACGCUCAUGCACGAAAGCGUGGGGAGCAAACAGGAUUAGAAACCCUUGUAGUCC